ACCUACGGGGCGCAGCAGUGAGGAAUAUUGGUCAAUGGGCGGAAGCCUGAACCAGCCAAGUCGCGUGAGGGAAUAAGGCCCUACGGGUCGUAAACCUCUUUUGCCGGGGAGCAAGGGCGGGGACGUGUCCCGGCCCGGAGAGUACCCGGAGAAAAAGCAUCGGCUAACUCCGUGCCAGCAGCCGCGGUAAUACGGAGGAUGCGAGCGUUAUCCGGAUUUAUUGGGUUUAAAGGGUGCGCAGGCGGUCUGUUAAGUCAGCGGUCAAAGCCCGGGGCUCAACCCCGGCCCGCCGUUGAAACUGGCAG
rnacentral:rRNA from 1 species